GAACUUUCCAGAGAUGGACUGGUGCCUUCGGGAACUGUGAGACAGGUGCUGCAUGGCUGUCGUCAGCUCGUGUUGUGAAAUGUUGGGUUAAGUCCCGCAACGAGCGCAACCCUUAUCCUUUGUUGCCAGCGGUCCGGCCGGGAACUCAAAGGAGACUGCCAGUGAUAAACUGGAGGAAGGUGGGGAUGACGUCAAGUCAUCAUGGCCCUUACGACCAGGGCUACACACGUGCUACAAUGGCGCAUACAAAGAGAAGCGACCUCGCGAGAGCAAGCGGACCUCAUAAAGUGCGUCGUAGUCCGGAUUGGAGUCUGCAACUCGACUCCAUGAAGUCGGAAUCGCUAGUAAUCGUGGAUCAGAAUGCCACGGUGAAUACGUUCCCGGGCCUUGUACACACCGCCCGUCACACCAUGGGAGUGGGUUGCAAAAGAAGUAGGUAGCUUAACCUUCGGGAGGGCGCUUACCACUUUGUGAUUCAUGACUGGGGUGAAGUCGUAACAAGGUAACCGUAGGGGAACCUGCGGUUGGAUCACCUCCUUACCUUAAAGAA
rnacentral:rRNA from 1 species